GUGGAUAUAGUUUAACAAAAAUGUUAGAUUGUGAUUCUGAAAAUAGGGGUUAAAGUCCCCUUAUCCACC
rnacentral:tRNA from 1 species